rnacentral:lncRNA from 1 species
UCCAAAUCCUUUCUAAGUGAAAUGCUCCCUGCCUUGCCCUGGUCUCCAAUUUUUCAGAUAAAUCCAUCCCCAAGGAAACAGUGUCACCAGCUUAAUAAAAUGUACUUUCUUCUUUUUUUGGCUGCAUUUUACCAAAAUGAGUGAUUCAAUUCCUUAGGAAAGAUUGCUACUAGUGUUACACUGUCUGAUGACUGGGAAUCCCGCUUGCGAUUGUUCUGGGACCAACAGAUGGUGAGGAAUCGAACUCAGGACCUUUCACUUACCAGGCAGGCACUUGUGCCACUGAGAUAUAUUCCUGGUUGUUUGUAUGAAUAAUUCAAGCAACGCAUGCUAUUAGAGAAGACCCAGGAGCUGUGCUUUGGAAGAUCAUGAAGGCCGUGUUUUAGAGCAAGAGAGAGAAACCCGUGAUUUUGGAGAUGGAAGCUGGCAGCUGGAGCCACAGCCCCACCUCUCAGCUGGCAAAACACAUUGUGUGCUCCCUGGCAGCAGAAAGAGAUGGGACUGUUUGUGUCCAGAGUGGAAAGUUGCACUUUUAGGUGGAGCAAACACACCUUGGCAGGAGGCGCCCAGCUCGGCAGCAGGCUCUGAUGGGUUCUCCAGUGAGGCUGAUCCACUCUUGGGAAGUGAGAUGGACCAACUGGGUGAUGCCCUCUAGUCAGAAAGAAUUGCUUUCAUGGAGUCCGGUGCAGCUCAAAGUAACCCUGCCUCCAAACUGUUCCCCUCUGUAUUUGCUUGCAUCUGGACCCUGGGCCGCAUCUGCAGCAAGAGGAGGUGAGGCAGGUUGUCUACAAAGUCUGGGGACUAAAUAAAAAGUGGAUGAAGACCAGAAGUCAUUCUCCAGACAGCUAAUAAAGCAUCGGUGCUUUUACAUUUGUGAGGCAUACAUCCUGUGACCUUUGAAAAUACCCAACUUUGCAAAUUCAAUUGUAAUAUGUAGUUGUCCCCUAAAAUGCAAUAAAGUAUAACUGAAUAUGUAACUGACCUCUUCACAUCAUUAAUGCUUUUAUGCAAAAGGAAUAAAGUAAUUUAGAAAGCUGUGAAAAUACCACCAUUGCUGAAACAUUCACAAAUCACUUUCACAGGUUUCUGCGCGUAUCCCGCCCUGUAACUGCCCGCGCUGUAUAUUAGAGUACCUGCCAAGCUUUCUAAUCCUUAUUCUAUCUGUACUAGCAUAUCAUAAAGUCACAGAAGGAUGUCAUUACUUCAGAAUAACAAGUCCGAU